AUUUGUUAACAAGACAAGAGACACAGAGAGAAACAAUGAUUUAACACGAAUGGAUAAAAAUGUAUUUACUUGUGAGACUAAUGCUGACUUUUACUGCAGCAGCUGCUGGGCAACAUGUAUCCGUCUCCACUGUCAGAGCUGGUGAUGAAGUCACUUUGCCUUGUAACAAUGUAACUGAUGGUCAGAAUAAUUGUGACAGAAUCAAAUGGACCUCUAUUACUUCUAUUUCAACAGUGACGUUGUUUGAAGCUGGACAGAUUCAGAUAAAUACAGCAAAUAAAUCAGAGAGGCUGAGUGUGACUGUUAAAUGUUCUCUGGUUAUAAAGAAGGUCAUGAUGGAGGAUGUUGGUCAGUACAACUGCAGACAGUUAACAUCAGAACAACAAGGACAAUCUUCCUCUGUUUAUAUCUCUGUUAUUCACAUGACUGAACAGAGGACCAAUGAUUCAGUUGUCUUAAGCUGCUCUGUGGUGGACUAUAACUAUUGCAGACACACAGUGGAGUGGCUGUAUGAUGGCAAAGCACAAAUUUCCUCACAUGUAGAAUCAAUAAUACCCAUCUGCCGUUCUACUGUCACACUGACAACUUCCCUUCAUGAACACUCAGCAUUUCUCAGGUCGAUAAAGUGUAAAGUUAAAAAUAACUCCACUAAAAAGGUUCAGCUGUUCACCUUCAGCCACCACCCACAA